rnacentral:lncRNA from 1 species
CCCAUUCAAUAUAUAUAUUCCUGACUAUAUAUAAAAAAAUAACACAAGUAAAGUAAUUAAACAGAUCAAAAACUGCAAACAAGCUAUAAAUGAUGAAAAUUGAAAACCCUUUUUUUCUAUAUGAUUCUAAUGGUGACAUUUCUAAGUGUAGCUCAAAGAUUUGCAUUAACUAUGCAUCUUUAGCUCAUAGACUUUGUGCUAAACUUCAUUCAAUGAAGAAAGAU